rnacentral:rRNA from 1 species
CUCAGAUUGAACGCUGGCGGCAGGCUUAACACAUGCAAGUCGAGCGGAAACGAGAAUAGCUUGCUAUUCGGCGUCGAGCGGCGGACGGGUGAGUAAUGCUUGGGAAUAUGCCUUAUGGUGGGGGACAACAGUUGGAAACGACUGCUAAUACCGCAUAACGUCUACGGACCAAAGGGGGGAUCUUCGGACCUCUCGCCAUUUGAUUAGCCCAAGUGAGAUUAGCUAGUUGGUAAGGUAAUGGCUUACCAAGGCGACGAUCUCUAGCUGGUUUGAGAGGAUGAUCAGCCACACUGGGACUGAGACACGGCCCAGACUCCUACGGGAGGCAGCAGUGGGGAAUAUUGCACAAUGGGCGAAAGCCUGAUGCAGCCAUGCCGCGUGUGUGAAGAGGCCUUCGGUUGUAAGCACUUCAGCGAGGAGGAAAGGUUAGUAGUUAAUAACUGCUAGCUGUGCGUUAACUCGCAGAGAAGCAGGUU